AGAGAUGUAGCUCAGUGGAUUGAAUAUCUGCCUUGCAUGCAGAAGGGCCCAGGCUUGAUCUCCGACAUCUCCA